rnacentral:rRNA from 1 species
AUAAGAGGUCCCGCCUGCCCAGUGAUAAUGUUAAACGGCCGCGGUAUUUUGACCGUGCAAAGGUAGCACAAUAAAUUGUCUUUUAAUUGGAGAAUGGUAUAAAUGGCAUCACGAGGGCUUAACUGUCUCCCCUCUAAAGUCAAUGAAAUUGAUCUCCCCGUGCAGAAGCGGGGAUGCACUCGUAAGACGAGAAGACCCUAUGGAGCUUUAGACAUAAACCAGCCCACGUUAAACACACCCCCAUAAGGGAUAUAAACAAAAUGGCCCCUGACGGUAUGUCUUCGGUUGGGGCGACCACGGAGAAAAACAAAACCUCCACAUGGACUGGGGCCACCUAGCCCUAAAGCACAGACCCGCAGGUCGAAUCAACAGUACAUCUGACCACAAAAGAGCCGGCACAAGCCGAUCACUGGACCAAGUUACCCUAGGGAUAACAGCGCAAUCCUCUCAAAGAGACCAUAUCAACGAGGGGGUUUACGACCUCGAUGUUGGAUCAGGACAUCCUAAUGGUGCAGCCCCUAUUAAGGGUUCGUUUGUUCAACGAUUAAUC